UACGGAGGGUGCGAGCGUUAAUCGGAAUUACUGGGCGUAAAGCGCACGCAGGCGGUUUGUUAAGCUAGAUGUGAAAGCCCCGGGCUCAACCUGGGAUGGUCAUUUAGAACUGGCAGACUAGAGUCUUGGAGAGGGGAGUGGAAUUCCAGGUGUAGCGGUGAAAUGCGUAGAUAUCUGGAGGAACAUCAGUGGCGAAGGCGACUCCCUGGCCAAAGACUGACGCUCAGGUGCGAAAGUGUGGGUAGCGAACAGG
rnacentral:rRNA from 1 species